rnacentral:rRNA from 2 species
AACUGCUAGACGACGCUGGCGGCGUGCCUAAUACAUGCAAGUCGAACGAACUCUGGUAUUGAUUGGUGCUUGCAUCAUGAUUUACAUUUGAGUGAGUGGCGAACUGGUGAGUAACACGUGGGAAACCUGCCCAGAAGCGGGGGAUAACACCUGGAAACAGAUGCUAAUACCGCAUAACAACUUGGACCGCAUGGUCCGAGUUUGAAAGAUGGCUUCGGCUAUCACUUUUGGAUGGUCCCGCGGCGUAUUAGCUAGAUGGUGGGGUAACGGCUCACCAUGGCAAUGAUACGUAGCCGACCUGAGAGGGUAAUCGGCCACAUUGGGACUGAGACACGGCCCAAACUCCUACGGGAGGCAGCAGUAGGGAAUCUUCCACAAUGGACGAAAGUCUGAUGGAGCAACGCCGCGUGAGUGAAGAAGGGUUUCGGCUCGUAAAACUCUGUUGUUAAAGAAGAACAUAUCUGAGAGUAACUGUUCAGGUAUUGACGGUAUUUAACCAGAAAGCCACGGCUAACUACGUGCCAGCAGCCGCGGUAAUACGUAGGUGGCAAGCGUUGUCCGGAUUUAUUGGGCGUAAAGCGAGCGCAGGCGGUUUUUUAAGUCUGAUGUGAAAGCCUUCGGCUCAACCGAAGAAGUGCAUCGGAAACUGGGAAACUUGAGUGCAGAAGAGGACAGUGGAACUCCAUGUGUAGCGGUGAAAUGCGUAGAUAUAUGGAAGAACACCAGUGGCGAAGGCGGCUGUCUGGUCUGUAACUGACGCUGAGGCUCGAAAGUAUGGGUAGCAAACAGGAUUAGAUACCCUGGUAGUCCAUACCGUAAACGAUGAAUGCUAAGUGUUGGAGGGUUUCCGCCCUUCAGUGCUGCAGCUAACGCAUUAAGCAUUCCGCCUGGGGAGUACGGCCGCAAGGCUGAAACUCAAAGGAAUUGACGGGGGCCCGCACAAGCGGUGGAGCAUGUGGUUUAAUUCGAAGCUACGCGAAGAACCUUACCAGGUCUUGACAUACUAUGCAAAUCUAAGAGAUUAGACGUUCCCUUUCGGGGGACAUGGAUACAGGUGGUGCAUGGUUGUCGUCAGCUCGUGUCGUGAGAUGUUGGGUUAAGUCCCGCAACGAGCGCAACCCUUAUUAUCAGUUGCCAGCAUUAAGUUGGGCACUCUGGUGAGACUGCCGGUGACAAACCGGAGGAAGGUGGGGAUGACGUCAAAUCAUCAUGCCCCUUAUGACCUGGGCUACACACGUGCUACAAUGGAUGGUACAACGAGUUGCGAACUCGCGAGAGUAAGCUAAUCUCUUAAAGCCAUUCUCAGUUCGGAUUGUAGGCUGCAACUCGCCUACAUGAAGUCGGAAUCGCUAGUAAUCGCGGAUCAGCAUGCCGCGGUGAAUACGUUCCCGGGCCUUGUACACACCGCCCGUCACACCAUGAGAGUUUGUAACACCCAAAGUCGGUGGGGUAACCUUUUAGGAACCAGCCGCCUAAGGUGGGACAGAUGAUUAGGGGAAGUCGAC